rnacentral:ncRNA from 1 species
UGGCUUCACUACGGGCGCCGAACCUGGCAAAUAACUGGGGUACAACUUAUUCUCUAUGUUUACAUAGGGUGAGAUGCCCCAGUCUUUUGUCCAGGUGAAGCUGAGAUUGUACCGUGAUUACUCGAUCAAGUUAAUGCUUGCGUGGGAAAGUGCUGCCGCCUCGAA